rnacentral:lncRNA from 1 species
ACGGGUGUGCAUGCGUGUGUGGGGUCUGCGUGCAUGCACAUGGAGUGUCACAUGUGCGUGUGCCCAGGGCAUGCACACACACACAUGUGUGCAAGCCCCAGGGCUGUGUGUAUGUGCACAUGGGUACAUGUGCCCAGGGGUGACCAUACACAUACACAUACACAUACACAUACACAUACACAUACACAUACACAUACACAUACACAUACACAUAUGUGCAAGACCCAGGGCUGUGUGUGUUCGUGUGUGAUGUGUGUGUGCAUGGGUACCUGUGCCCAGCGGUGAGCACACACAUGUUCAAGCCCCAGGACAUGUGUGUGUGUGCACAUGGGUGCACAUGUCCAGGGGUGACCAUAUACAUACGAAUACGUGCAAGCCCCAUGUGCAUGUGUGUGUACAUGGCAUGGUGCAGGGGACGGUGGGGGGGGGGCGCACUGUCGAGCCGAGCCGAACCGAACCGAACCGAGCCGAGGCGGCGCGAUCCGAUUGCGAUCGACUCGAUCCGAAGAGGGGCCGAACUGAUCCGAGAAGGGGCCGACCCGAUCCGAGGAGGACACGAACUAAUCCGAAGAGAGGCCGAUCCGAUCCGAGCGGGGCCGACCCGAUCCGAGUAGGGACCGAUCCGACCCGAGAGGGAGACGAACUGAUUCGAGGAGGGGCCGAUCCGAUCCGAGGAGGGGCCGAUCCGAUCCGAGCGGAGCCGAGCGGGGCCGAGCGGGGCCGAGCGCCAGCCCAUUCUCAUAAACCACAUGCUGCCGCGGCGCUAUAAAGGGGAGCGCGGCGGCGGUGGUGGCUCAGCCCGGCCCCGCUCGGCCCCGCCGCCGCCUCGCCCGCUCCGCCCGGCCCCGCCGCAGCCCCGGCCCCACGGCAGCCCCCAUGCCCCGCCUCGGAGCCAAGGUACGGCGGCCCCUCCCGUUAGCCCGGCGCGGCGCCCGCUGCCACCGGUGCGGGGUCCCCUCGUAACCCGCUCCCCCGGGGCAGGCAGCGGGACAGGGCAGAGCUCCGUGUCGGGAGUCCCGGCUCCCGGCGGGGUGAUGCUCCAGCCCCAGCUCGGUUGUUGGACCCGCGGGAUGAGGCUCCAGCCCCCCUCCCGAUGCUCGGUUCCAGCACUGGGGCUCCCGGAGCCGAAGGGUGAAGCCCCGGGUUCUCGGUUCCAGCCCUGUCUCGCUUCCCGGAGCUGGCGGGGAGAGGCCCCGGCUCCAGCCCGUCCCGUCCCGGCGGGGUGAGGCUCC